GGUUCCCGUCAUCGUGCCCGUGCCCACUCUGUGCAGAUUAUGCGUGUGGAAAGGGUGGCAAGCAGCAAGUGCCGCAGACCAGCCAUCGUCCAGUACCACAACUCUAAGAUCAAGUUCCCCUUCCUUCCCCACUCCAAGAGGAAGAACAUGAAGAUGGACCGCAUUACACCCAAGAUCCCCAUGAUUCCAACUUAUUAAAUAUAAUAAAUGGUCGGGUGAA